rnacentral:misc_RNA from 1 species
UUAACUAUUAUAUAGUACUCAGACGACACUAACAUUCAGAGUUUUGGGUCCUCUGGCAGGCGCUUACCAGCCUGAGCCGGUAGCCAGGCCGAAGCCUAGCGGCCUGCCAAAGCAACAAAGUGAUGAUAACAUAGGGUGGGAGAUCUACCCGUGAGGGCAUGAACUCUGUAAUGAUCCCUCCGCAGGUUCACCUACGGAGA